UACAGAGGGGGCUAGCGUUGUUCGGAAUUACUGGGCGUAAAGGGCGCGUAGGUGGCCUGUUAAGUCGAACGUGAAAUCCCCGGGCUCAACCCGGGAACUGCGUCCGAGACUGGCAGGCUCGAAUCCGGGAGAGGGAUGUGGAAUUCCAGGUGUAGCGGUGAAAUGCGUAGAUAUCUGGAGGAACACCAGAGGCGAAGGCGGCUACCUGGACAAUUGCUGACACUCAGGCACGAAAGCGUGGGGAGCAAAAGGG
rnacentral:rRNA from 1 species